UACGUAGGGUGCAAGCGUUGUCCGGAAUUAUUGGGCGUAAAGAGCUCGUAGGCGGUUUGUCGCGUCUGCUGUGAAAACUGGGGGGCUCAACCCCCCAGCCUGCAGUGGGUACGGGCAAACUAGAGUGCGGUAGGGGAGAUUGGAAUUCCUGGUGUAGCGGUGAAAUGCGCAGAUAUCAGGAGGAACACCAAUGGCGAAGGCAGCUCGCUGGGACGGUACUGACGCUGAGACGCGAAAGCGUGGGGAGCAAACAGG
rnacentral:rRNA from 1 species